CAUGGAUGACGUCCUCGGCUUGGCUGGUGAUGUCGUCCGGUCCCUCUCGGCGUUCGGCGGCGUGCGGUGCAACUUCAGUCUUGAUAUUCUCGGAUGAUGUUUGCCCAAUAUAGCGGGAUGAGUGUGUGGUCUUCGGUCAGCGGUGGGGAUUCUGUAGUGUGAAGUACAGACGUCUGGACCUCUGGGACGGCGGUGCAUGGGCGUUUCUCCUGCGCGACGUCUUCCGUCCUUGAAGUCUCCGAUGUGGGCUCCAGGAUGCGAUGUGGUUCUUCCAUAAUUUAUCGGAUGAUAUAAAGAUGCAAGUGUGUUGAAACGACCGCAAACAUGUGGGGUUAUGUGAAAUGAUUAUAAGUGAAUGAUCAAAAAUUGAAAUAGUG